rnacentral:rRNA from 1 species
UGGGGAAUUUUGGACAAUGGGGGCAACCCUGAUCCAGCGACGCCGCGUGAAGGAUGAAGGUCUUCGGAUUGUAAACUUCUUUUAGAGGGGAUGAAUGGGUUGGUGAAUAGCCAACCGUGACAGUACCCUUUGAAUAAGCCACGGCUAACUACGUGCCAGCAGCCGCGGUAAUACGUAGGUGGCAAGCGUUACUCGGAAUUACUAGGCGUAAAGAGCAGGUAGGCGGUUGGAUAAGUUUCUUGUGAAAGCUCCCGGCUUAACUGGGAGAGGUCAAGGAAUACUGUUUGACUUGAGUGCGGUAGGGGAAGCUGGAAUUCCCGGUGUAGCGGUGAAAUGCGUAGAUAUCGGGAGGAAUACCAAUGGCGAAGGCAAGCUUCUGGGCCGUCACUGACGCUGAGCUGCGAAAGCUAGGGGAGCAAACAGGAUUAGAUACCCUGGUAGUCCUAGCCCUAAACGAUGCUCAUUAGAUGUGGGAGGUAUCGACCCCUUCCGCGUCGGCGCUAACGCAUUAAAUGAGCCGCCUGGGGAGUACGGCCGCAAGGUUGA